AGCGGUGACGUAAUGGUCACGUGGGGCCGGGCGCGCCCCCUCCCCGGGCGGCGCUCGGGUACUGGGGUUACUGGUUUGUACUGGUUUAUACUGGGGUGCUUUACUGGGGCGUACUGGGUUAUACUGGUUUAUACUGGGGGGUACUGCGCUCGGGUACUGGGGUGUACUGGUUUGUACUGGUUUAUACUGGGGUGCUUUACUGGGGCGUACUGGGUUAUACUGGUUUAUACUGGGGGGUACUGGUGUGUACUGGGGUGUUGUACGUGGGCUAUACUGGGUUAUACUGGUUUAUACUGGGGUGUUUUCCUGGUGUGUACUUGGUGAUACUGGUUUAUGCUGGUGUGUACUGGGUUAUACUGGUUUAUACUGGGUUAUACUGGUUUAUACUGGGGUGUACUGGGGGAUACCAAGGUGCUGUACUGGGUGUUACUGGGGUGUUUUACUGCAUUGUACUGGAGUUUACUGGUUUAGACUGGGUUAUACUGGGGUGUACUGGGUUAUACUGGGGGAUACUGGGGUGUACUGGGUUGGACUGGUUUAUACUGGGGUGUACUGGUUUAUACUGGGUUGUACUGGGUUAGACUGGUUUAUACUGUCCUACACUGGUCCAUACUGUCAUGUACUGGUUCAAACUGGUCCAUACUGGUCUGCACUGUUCUGUACUGGUGUACGCUGGUCGAUACUGGUCGAUACUGGGCCGUACUGUCUAUACUGGUUCAUACUGGUCCAUACUGGUCUGCACUGGCCUACACUGAUCUAUACUGUCCUGUAGUGGUCCGUACUGUCCAUACUGGUCUAUACUGGUCCAUACUGGUCCAUACUGUCCAUACUGUCCCAUACUGGUCCAUACUGGUCUAUACUGGUCCAUACUGGCCCAUAUUGGUCUAUACUGUCCAUACUGGCCCAUACUGGUCCAUACUGGUCUAUACUGUCCAUACUGGCCCAUACUGGUCCAUACUAAUCCAUACUGUCCCGUACUGCUCCGUACUGG
rnacentral:lncRNA from 12 species